UGCUUGACAUCUCACUUCGACACAGCACC
rnacentral:piRNA from 1 species